AGAGUUUGAUCAUGGCUCAGGACGAACGCUGACGGUGUGCUUUAGACAUGCAAGUCGAACGCGAAAGCCCUUCGGGGCGAGUAGAGUGGCGAACGGGUGAGUAACACGUGGGUAACCUGCCCCUCGCAGGGGGAUAACCGGGGGAAACCCCGGCUAAUACCCCGUACGCUUGCCGGGUCGCAUGGCCCGGUAGGGAAAGGUAGCUUCGGCCAUCCGGCGAGGGAUGGGCCCGCGGUGCAUUAGCUAGUUGGUGGGGUAACGGCCCACCAAGGCUACGAUGCAUAGCUGGUCUGAGAGGAUGAUCAGCCACACUGGGACUGAGACACGGCCCAGACUCCUACGGGAGGCAGCAGUCGGGAAUCUUGCGCAAUGGGCGAAAGCCUGACGCAGCAACACCGUGUGAGCGACGAAGGCCUUCGGGUCGUAAAGCUCUGUUGUUGGGGACGAAGGGCGAAGGGUUAAUAGCCCCUAGCUUGACGGUACCCUUCGAGGAAGCCCCGGCUAACUACGUGCCAGCAGCCGCGGUAAUACGUAGGGGGCGAGCGUUGUCCGGAAUUAUUGGGCGUAAAGAGCGUGUAGGCGGUUCGGUAAGUCUGCCGUGAAAACCUGGGGCUCAACCCCGGGCGUGCGGUGGAUACUGCCGGGCUAGAGGAUGGUAGAGGCGAGUGGAAUUCCCGGUGUAGCGGUGAAAUGCGCAGAUAUCGGGAGGAACACCAGUAGCGAAGGCGGCUCGCUGGGCCAUUCCUGACGCUGAGACGCGAAAGCUAGGGGAGCGAACAGGAUUAGAUACCCCCGUAGUCC
rnacentral:rRNA from 1 species